rnacentral:lncRNA from 1 species
GAUUUAGUCACCUAUGAUGGCCUGCAUGUGAACUUCACUCAGGAAGAGUGGGCUUUACUGGAUCCUUCUCAGAAGAAUCUCUACAAAGAUGUGAUGCUAGAGACCUAUAGGAAUCUCUCAGCUAUAGGUUACAUUUGGGAAGGACAUAUAAGUGAAGACUAUUUUCAAACUUCUAGAAGUCAUGGAAGGCAUGAAAGAAAUUGUACUGCAGUGCAACCCUCUGAGUUUAUUCAAUGUGGUAAAGCCUUUGCAUAUCAGAGUCUUAGACAAAGGCAUGAAAGAACACAUAAUGGAGAGAAAGACUAUUGCUGUAACCAAUGUGGUAAAAACUUUAUAAUAAGCAGUCAUCUCCAAAUACAUAAACGAAGAAAUACAGGAGAGAAACCCUAUGAAUGUAACCAAUGUGGUAAAGCCUUUGCAGGAAGUGGUGACUUCCAAAAACAUAAACGAAGACAAAGAGGAGAGAAACCCUAUGAAUGUAACCAAUGUGGUAAAACCUUUGCUGUAAGAAGUGACCUCCAAAUACAUAAGCGAACACAUACAGGAGAGAAACCCUAUGAUUGUAAACAGUGUGGUAAAGCUUUUAUAAGAAGGGGAGACCUCCAAAUACAUAAGCGAAUACAUAGAGGAGAGAAACCCUAUGAAUGUAACACUAUGGUAAAGCCUUUGUAAUAAGCUGUCAUCUCCGAAUACAUAAGGGAACACAUACAGGAGAUAAACCCUAUGAAUGUAACCAAUGUGGUAAAGCUUUUAUAAGAAGUGCGGACCUCCAAAUACAUAAGCGAAUACAUACAGGAGCGAAACCCUAUGAAUGUAAACAAUGUGGUAAAGCCUUUACAAAAAGCAGUAAUCUCCAAAUACAUGAGCGAACACAUACAGGAGAGAAAGCCUAUGAAUGUAACCAAUGUGGUAAAACUUUUAUAAGAAGUGGUCACCUCCGAAUACAUAAGCGAACACAUACAGGAGAGAAACCCUAUGAAUGUAACCAAUGUGGUAAAGCUUGUAUACAUAGUGGUAACCUCAAAAGACAUGAAAGAACACAUACAGGAGAGAAACUCAAUGAAGGCAUCUAAUGUUAUAAAACCUUUGCAGCAAGCAUUGUUCUCCAAGUAUAUAAAUGAACACAUACCAGAAAGAAACCUUGUAAAUGUAACCAACGUGGUAAAGCUUUUUCGAAAACCAAUAGUCUUUACACACAUAAAAGCACAUAUAGUUGAGAGAAAUGCUUUGACUUCAACCAAUGUAGUUAUACUUUUUCAAAAAGCAGUCAUGAACAAAAUCAUAAAAGAACACGUAUAGGAGAGAGAUUUUUGAAUGUUAGCAAUGUCCUUUUACACCUUAUUCACAAAGCAGUGGUCUCCAAAUAUAUAAAGAAAUACAUACAGGAGAGAAACCCUAUGAAUAUCAUCAAUGUUCUAAAGCCCUUCUACAUCACAAUCAUCUUCAAAUCCGUAAAGAACAUGAGGUGGAAAGAAAUCCUCUGAAUAUCACUAAUUAGGUAAAGUCAUUGUACAAAAGAGUCAUUUCCCAACACAAAAGUAUACACACUGGAUAGAAACCCUAUGAAUAUAAGAAUGUGGUAAACAUUUUAUAAGUCACAGUAGUCUCUAAGUAAAUAAAAGAAGACAGAGUUGAGAGAAACCCUAUGAAAGUUAUCAAAGGGACAAAGCCUUGUACAUAAAGAUCUUCAAAUACAUAAAAGUAGACAGAGGUGAGAAACCCUAUGUCUGUAAUGC